GACUUCUGGUUUAAUGCACCUGGCCCGCGGCCCACAAGGCCUGUGAGUGCCGGCGCGCGUUUACCAUCCUUCCAGCAACGGCUACCCUUAACUGGGCGGCUGGAACUGGAUCUUUUACUUUGAAAAAAUUAGAGUGUUUAAAGCAGGCGUUUGCUCUGAAUACAUUAGCAUGGAAUAAUAAUCUAGGACUUCGGUUCUAUUUUGUUGGUUUCGAGAACUGAAGUAAUGAUUGAGAGGGAUAGUUGGGGGUGCUAGUAUUGGCCGGUCAGAGGUGAAAUUCUUGGAUUCGGUCAAGACUAACUUAUGCGAAAGCAUU
rnacentral:rRNA from 1 species